rnacentral:rRNA from 1 species
GGAGUGCUUGCACUCUGUGAAACAAGAUACAGGCUAGCGGCGGACGGGUGAGUAACACGUGGGUAACCUGCCCAAGAGAUCGGGAUAACACCUGGAAACAGAUGCUAAUACCGGAUAACAACAGAUGAUGCCUAUCAACUGUUUAAAAGAUGGUUCUGCUAUCACUCUUGGAUGGACCUGCGGUGCAUUAGCUAGUUGGUAGGGUAACGGCCUACCAAGGCGAUGAUGCAUAGCCGAGUUGAGAGACUGAUCGGCCACAUUGGGACUGAGACACGGCCCAAACUCCUACGGGAGGCAGCAGUAGGGAAUCUUCCACAAUGGACGCAAGUCUGAUGGAGCAACGCCGCGUGAGUGAAGAAGGGCUUCGGCUCGUAAAGCUCUGUUGUUGGUGAAGAAGGACAGGGGUAGUAACUGACCUUUGUUUAACGGUAAUCAAUUAGAAAGUCACGGCUAACUACGUGCCAGCAGCCGCGGUAAUACGUAGGUGGCAAGCGUUGUCCGGAUUUAUUGGGCGUAAAGCGAGUGCAGGCGGCUCGAUAAGUCUGAUGUGAAAGCCUUCGGCUCAACCGGAGAAUUGCAUCAGAAACUGUCGAGCUUGAGUACAGAAGAGGAGAGUGGAACUCCAUGUGUAGCGGUGAAAUGCGUAGAUAUAUGGAAGAACACCGGUGGCGAAGGCGGCUCUCUGGUCUGUUACUGACGCUGAGGCUCGAAAGCAUGGGUAGCGAACAGGAUUAGAUACCCUGGUAGUCCAUGCCGUAAACGAUGAGUGCU